rnacentral:tRNA from 1 species
GUUCGGGUGGUGUAGUUGGUUGUCACGCUAGUUUCACACAUUAGAGGUCCCCGGUUCGAACCCGUGAUCAGACA